rnacentral:rRNA from 1 species
GCAAGUCGAGCGGUAACAGGAAUUAGCUUGCUAAUUCGCUGACGAGCGGCGGACGGGGGAGUAAUGCCGGGGAAUAUGCCUUAGUGUGGGGGAUAACUAUUGGAAACGAUAGCUAAUACCGCAUAAUGUUUUUGUUCAUUACGCACAGGAACCAAAGAGGGGGAUCUUCGGACCUCUCGCGCUAAGAUUAGCCCAGGUGGGAUUAGCUUGUUGGUGAGGUAAGAGCUCACCAAGGCGACGAUCUCUAGCUGGUCUGAGAGGAUGAUC